UACAGAGGUCCCAAGCGUUGUUCAGAUUCACUGGGCGUAAAGGGUGCGUAGGUGGUAGGGUAAGUUUGGUGUGAAAUCUCCGAGCUUAACUCGGAAAUGGCAUUGAAUACUAUUCAACUAGAGGUUUGGAGGGGGGACUGGAAUUCUCGGUGUAGCAGUGAAAUGCGUAGAUAUCGAGAGGAACACCAGUGGCGAAGGCGAGUCCCUGGACAACACCUGACACUGAGGCACGAAAGCUAGGGGAGCAAACAGG
rnacentral:rRNA from 1 species